CCUACGGGUGGCAGCAGUGAGGAAUAUUGGUCAAUGGGCGCGAGCCUGAACCAGCCAAGUAGCGUGAAGGAUGACUGCCCUACGGGUUGUAAACUUCUUUUAUAAAGGAAUAAAGUGAGGCACGUGUGCCUUUUUGUAUGUACUUUAUGAAUAAGGAUCGGCUAACUCCGUGCCAGCAGCCGCGGUAAUACGGAGGAUCCGAGCGUUAUCCGGAUUUAUUUGGUUUAAAGGGAGCGUAGAUGGGUUGUUAAGUCAGUUGUGAAAGUUUGCGGCUCAACCGUAAAAUUGCAAUUGAUACUGGGAGUCUUGAGUACAGUUGAGGUAGGCGGAAUUCCUGGUGUAGCGGUGAAAUGCGUAGAUAUUAGGAGGAACACCAGUGGCGAAGGCGGCCUGCUGGGCUUUUACUGACGCUGAGGCUCGAAAGUGUGGGGAGCAAACAGGAUUAGAUACCCUAGUAGUC
rnacentral:rRNA from 1 species